rnacentral:rRNA from 1 species
AUUGAACGCUGGCGGCAGGCCUAACACAUGCAAGUCGAACGGUAACAGGAAGAAGCUUGCUUCUUUGCUGACGAGUGGCGGACGGGUGAGUAAUGUCUGGGAAACUGCCUGAUGGAGGGGGAUAACUACUGGAAACGGUAGCUAAUACCGCAUAACGUCGCAAGACAAAAGAGGGGGACCUUCGGGCCUCUUGCCAUCGGAUGUGCCCAGAUGGGAUUAGCUAGUAGGUGGGGUAACGGCUCACCUAGGCGACGAUCCCUAGCUGGUCUGAGAGGAUGACCAGCCACACUGGAACUGAGACACGGUCCAGACUCCUACGGGAGGCAGCAGUGGGGAAUAUUGCACAAUGGGCGCAAGCCUGAUGCAGCCAUGCCGCGUGUAUGAAGAAGGCCUUCGGGUUGUAAAGUACUUUCAGCGGGGAGGAAGGGAGUAAAGUUAAUACCUUUACUCAUUGACGUUACCCGCAGAAGAAGCACCGGCUAACUCCGUG